CCUGGGGUGGUACAAAGGUUAAUGCGUUCAGCUACUAACUGGAAGGUUGGUGGUUUGAAUCCACCCACAGAA
rnacentral:tRNA from 1 species